UCGAACCUCGAUAUAUCGAACGGCACGGCGAUCGCGAAAUAGUUCGAUAUAUCCAGAAUUCGAUAUAAAAAAUCACGUAAAAAAUGCGUCAAGAACUUGUGGAAAACAACCAACGAACCAAUCGUGGUGCAGUAAAUACUCACUUGAAGAUUCAAACAAAGUAUUUAUUGUGUUGGCUUAAAAUACUGAAAAAGAGUAGCCUGCUUUUUGUUGGCAAUGGCGUGUUUGACGACUGCGCGAUCCACAAGUGAAAGGCCGGUGCCUUCAAUCGCGCUGCAGUGGCGGCGCGCAAGGGCCAAAGCGGCUACGACCUCAGCUGAUGUCGGGAGCGGGGCACCAUCAGCGCUUGCGGGAU